rnacentral:sRNA from 1 species
UGUGCGGAGACAGAGGAGAGAGAUCAUGCAUUACUGGCUUCUGGAGAGCAGUGUGACCCUGUAAACACCUAGAUGUACAAUUUCUGCUUCCCAGUACUGAGAGAGAGAGUAAGUUUCUAUUGUGCGAAGGCACCCAGGCAUGCGAUACUUUGUUGCACUCGAUCCUUUGUUACAUCAACCCUCAGAAAACCUAAUACAGGACCCUGGGGUGCGGGUGGGGGUUGGGGGAAAGAGGGGGAUCAGGGCCAACAUUACAAAUGGAAAACGAAGGAAAGUCAGAAAGUCAGGCCAAUAAGAUGAAGCCAUUCGUUAAAGAGAAAAGCAAGGGAUUGGCAGUCAGGAAACCUGGUUCCUGUCGUGGUAAUGGGGCUUGCGUCCUGGAGCUGGACACUUAAUUGCUCUCUGCUUUGGCUUUAUCACCUGCGGAACACGAGAGGCUGGAACUCCAUAAGCUACAGACUAAAUCCAGGCUCAUAUCUGGGGAGGCUGAGCACCAAUCAAAGCAACAUUUUAAUGCUUUCGUGGUUCCAGUUUUGGCACUGCAGGGACCUCAGUGACAGGACACAGGAACACAGCUGCGUCUUCAUCUGCCGCCAGCCGCGUCCACACCAGCAGGCUGCACACAUUAAUGUGAACCAGUAGAUUUCCAGGUUCUUCAGCCCCUGGAUGCUUAGAGUCCUUGAAAGAAAACGGUUUCAAUUGGUCUGAUGAGAUCCGAAUUUACUCUGAGUGAGCAUCUCCUGCAAGGUCCUCAAAUCAUCUCUUACGUCUCGAGAUGGCUACAAAGCAGGAAAGACAAAAAUCUCCCAUCUUGCCAAUCUAGACUCUUCAAGUAUGUGACUAACAAACGAAGUGACAUAAUUUUCCUGUGUGCCGCAAGCUCUUUUUAAUAAAAGUAAGUGCCUCUGGAAGGAGGUAAAGUGGAAAUGUAUAUUUUUAACUUAACAUCCUGCAUACACCCCACUGUCAAAGAAAGACUAUCAGUGGUCAAGGAAGCAGCUGGGACUGUUAGUGACAUUCUAGUGACCCUCUAAAGUCAGCACCUGGUCCUUGGGGCAAUUCAUGAUCUCCAGAAUCAUUUUUUUCCUUUUGGAAAAAAAAGUAUUAGUUUCUAUUAAGGUGUAUUUUUCUUUCUUGAAAAUGUUCUAAAAGCAAACCAGGUAAAGGCACUGAUAGUCCUCACCCUCUUAUGCCUCAUGUCUGGCCCUUGCUUCCUCUUCUCCCAGAAGCCCUAGUAGAUGGUAUGCUUCACGAGUGAAGAGAACAUCUUUACUAUUUCCUUGUUCCCCUGAGCCUGAGUCCCACACUCUCAGAUGUUUCCUAAAUAUUUUCUGCCCGUGGACCAGGUCCGUAAUGAGCGCCACUGUAAAGCAAAAUGGAAAAAUACAGGUGCUACCUGAAUGUGGCAGGUAAGAGGGUGGACUAAGGGGAGGCUGCAGAGGUUCUGAGACCCAGAGCUGUCAAGUUUCUCCAAGUACACAUUGAAGUACACAGCAUAGACAGUACUCUUCAAAUUAAAUCAAGGCACAACAUCCAACUUCUACCUCAAAGAGAAAGGCUUUGAGCAGCGAUGUAAACAUUUUCCCUCGUGUGAAUAGACACAUGAUCUUGCUUGAAUAUCACUGGUGAGCAAGCCUCAAAUUUGAUGACGUACAACAGAGACAUGUUGGAAACAGGAUACACAGAAGAGAUUCACUGUGCCUCAUGCUUAACUACUAGCACUGUGGAUCACUGAAGCACAGGCCGUAGUUGGCAUUAAGCGGCAAGCAUAACAAUGGUGUGAAGUAUGAUCUCUGAUGUUUACCAAGCCUUGGGAGUUGUAUUGAGCCCUCACACACGUUUUCUCACAUAACACUCACACAGAUUCUGAGAAGCCUACCUUUUCCAGAGGAAAUGGAAUGAACACAUAAUUUGUUCAAGAUGAGUGAUGGAUCAAAACUUGAACCCAAAUCCUGUACGUUAGCCCUUGGCUGGGAUGGGAAGGGACAGACUGGGGGUGUCUACUGAAAAAGGGAAGCUGCUGCUUGACUCCAGAAUUGUGUUGUUGACAGGAGCACUGACUGCUCUUCCAGAGGUCCUGAGUUCAAUUCCCAGCA